CUAUCUGGUAUAGGUCUAUGAGAAUUGCACUGUUAGGAAGAAAUAAGUUUGGAUUAGUUACUGGGUCAAUGCUAUUAGACUAUCUUGGGUAAUGAACUCUGUGGGUAAAAACUUACUGGGAGGUAUAAUGUAUGCUUCUAGUGCACAGGCUGUUUGGUCUGAUUUAUGUGAAAGAUUUCAAAAAGUGGAUGGUUCAAGAACAUUCAACAUUCACAAGGAAAUAGCAACUCUAAGUCAAGGAACAAAUUAUGUGUUAGUUUAUUUUUCUAAACUCAAAGAUUUACGGGAAGAAUUUGAUGCACUGGUUCCACCAGCUUCUUGUCAAUGUGAUAAGUCUAGGGAAUUUGUUAAGUUCUUGCAGAAGUUAAAGUUGUUUCAGUUCCCGAUGGGGUUGAAUGAGUCUUAUAUGCAAACAAGAAGCUAAAUCUUGCUUAUAAAUCGUAUGCCAUCAGUUAAUCAGGCCUACUCUAUAGUGAUUAGUGAUGAAAGUCAGAAAAAUGUUGCACCUACUUCUGGGAUCUUGGGUGCUAAUUCUACAGUUGCACAAGUAAACUUUGAUAUUGCUAUGGAUUCUAGGAUGGGAGGAAUACAAAUGUAAACUACAAUCUUCAAUGUGAGUUCUGCAACCUUAAGGGGCAUACCAAAGAGAAUUGUUGGAAACUUAUUGGAUACCCCCAGGAUUAUAAGUACAAGAAGAAAACUGGUGCUGGAUAUGCUCAUAAUGCAAUGGUUGAAAGUGCAGGAAACUAUGUACAUAAAGGAAAUUGUCCAAGCACAGGACAAUCAGGCUCACAUGUGAAUCAGUCUCAACAAAUGGAUCGUUGUAGUCUAAUAAGAGAGCAUAUCAGCAAAUUCUGCAAUUUUUUAACAGGAAUCCUGAGACGUCUGCACAUCCUACUCACUCUAUACAUAUUGCAGGUAUAACCAAUUGCAUAAAUGAUGAAGUGGAUAAUGUUGUUGUCACUAACAAUGUAGGUACCAGUAUGGCACUUAUGGUGUCUGACAAGAGUCAAGACUGGAUAGUUGAUACAUGAGCCACCAAUCAUAUGAUGUCUGACCUGAAUAUGUUGAAUAAAGAAACGAUAACUAAAACUGAAAAUCCAAAGUGACUGUUUUUACCUAAUGGAUAAAUAUCUAUAGCCACUCAUACUGUUGCAAGUACAUUAUGCAACCAAAACACCAUCACAGAUGUGUUUCAUAUAUCACAAUUUAAGUUUAAUCUUCUUUCUGUAGCCAAACUUACUAAAGAGUUACAAUGUUCUUCUUUUUUUUUUUUUGCCUUGACUUCUUUGUUUUUUAGGAUCUCUUCAGUGGGAAGGUGAAGAUGAUUGGUAGAGAGGAUGAUAGGCUAUAGGCUAUACAUACUAUCAGGAAGUUCAAGUGAAAAAGACAUUAUUCUAGCUGCAAGGCAUUGCAAUCAACAGAUAAACAAAACCUCUCAUAGAUAUUAGUACUAAGUCUGAUAUAGAAAUAUGGCAUAAAAGAUUUGGACAUGUGUCCACUAGUGUUCUACAGAAAUUAUUUUCCUCAAAGACUGAUGUUAUAUAUGAAGUUGUGAAUAAAUGCUCAGUUUGUCCAUGUGCAAAAAAAAUAA